rnacentral:lncRNA from 1 species
AUGGCACAUACCCCUCCCUCCCAAUCUACUUUUGUGGAAAUUGAGCCUCCACCAGACAUCUCAACUCCAGUAUGGCCGCCUGCACUGCGACCGGGGAUGCCUCUGGAACCACCUCCAUGUGCUCCGGUGUUCUACCAUACCCCCACUCCACUCAGCCCUGUUCAUCCUGGAACCCAUGUGCACAUGUCCUCUCCUGCUCUGGCUGGGAGCACUCCAGUACAAACUCUCACCUGGGCAACACAAGGGGAUAACAUGCAACUUUGCACCUCUUCUGAAGGUGGAACUCAUUCAUCAGUGGCACAACAUGAACUGCCCAACAUUCUACCAACUCCUGGAAGGCAAAUACAAGAAGUCACUGCUCGGGUACAAGGGAACUGGGAUACCUUGUUUGACUUAAUGGCAAGACAAGAAACAAGAGUGAAUGAACUUACCCAGGAAGUGAAAGAUACCUCUUCUCAGCACCAGAGCCAGAUUGCUGAUCUUGCUGCAAAAGUGGAGGAUAACAAAAAUCAAGUUUUAACCCUGUUUACUACCACUAAGCAACAUGAGGAGACUGAAGCAGAUAACCUGACUAAAGCGAUGAAGUUAAUGAUCACGGAAGAACUCCAGAAGGUGGAAUCUACCUUGGUUUCUGAACUACGAUUCAUGGUUGAUCAACUCCAAGCAGAGGUUCAGCAGGACAUCAAAGCUGUUCAAAACACUUUCCAAACAAGCCAUUAUAAGAUAACUUCACAACUCCAACAAUGUGUUAAUCAAACUGAUCAAUGUCUCACCGGUUUCAAAGGGUUGAAAAGUGAAGUGGAGAAAGGAUUUCAAAGUGUUAAAAAAAGUGCAGAUCAACAAAAGUUAAGCGUCUUGACGCCACCAGGUCCCAGCACUAUCAGUAUUUCAUCCCAGCCAUCUCCUUCUGCUCCAGUGACUCCUUCAACUUCUUCAACCCCUCCGUUAACAUCUGUGGUUAAAAGUGACCAUAUUAAAUUAACCUUCCCCACAUUUGGAAGGCCUUCAGAUGAUGCAGACCCCCUAUUUUACCUAACCAAAUGUCAGGAUUUUUUGGCUAUACAUCCCCUGACAGAUGCAGACAUCCUGGCUACCUUCCGUAUUGUCUUGUACGGAACAGCACGAGACUGGUGGGAAGUCAGACGGUCCACCAUAACCACCUGGAAUGAGUUUGAGACUGCAUUUUUAUCUGCUUUCCUUUCGGAGGAUUAUGAGGAUGAACUGGCUGAACGUGUCCGUACUAGGAUUCAAAGAGACACAGAAUCCAUUAGAGACUUCGCGUUUUCUUACAGAGCUCUCUGUAAAAGAUGGAAGGCAGAUUUUACAGAGGGUGAGAUUGUGAAGAUGAUACUUAAGAAUAUUAAGCCAUACCUUGCCAGUCAAUUGCGUAGCAGAGUAAAUACUGUGGAAGAGCUGGUAAAAUUAGGACAUCAACUGGAAAGAGAUUAUGAGCAACAGCUUCGUUAUGAUUGUGGUCGAAUGGGCCCUAAGCAUCAAGCCACAUCACAAAGACUCUCAUGA